UACGAAGGGGGCUAGCGUUGCUCGGAAUUACUGGGCGUAAAGCGCACGUAGGCGGCUUUUUAAGUCGGGGGUGAAAUCCUGGAGCUCAACUCCAGAACUGCCUUCGAUACUGGAAAGCUCGAGUCCGGGAGAGGUGAGUGGAACUGCGAGUGUAGAGGUGAAAUUCGUAGAUAUUCGCAAGAACACCAGUGGCGAAGGCGGCUCACUGGCCCGGUACUGACGCUGAGACGCGAAAGCGUGGGGAGCGAACAGG
rnacentral:rRNA from 1 species